AAAAAAAAAAAAAAAAAAGCCAGUGGGGCUAGUAUAACAGGAGCAGAGGGAAAAGAAAUACCAUCGGGCAGUUCACGCAGGGCUCAUUGCCAAGGAUUUAUGUCAGACUUGUGCUGUAAGAAGAUUACUCUGGCUACUGUAUGGAAAAUUAAGAUGGGGUGGCAUGUUGCAAGAGUGGAAGCAGGCAGGCCAGCUAGAAGACUACUGUAAUAAUCCAGCUAAGAUGAUAUUGGCUUGGAUCAAGGGUCCUGAUGCAGUUGGCAGAAGCAGUCAGCUCCUGGAUAUAUUUAGAAAGGAGAGCCGAUUGGAUGUGUGGAGGAGUGGGUUUGAGGAGGAAGAUCCAGAGUUCUGCUGAGGACAUUUUAAGUUGAAGAUGCUUAGUUUAUAUCCAUGCCCUGCCAUGCAGGCAGAUGUAAAUCAGGAGCUCAGGGACAAAGUUGAGACUAAGAAUGGGAGGUGUCGAUGCAGAGAAGGUACUUAAAGUUUUGGUUGAAUUCCAGGGUGUAUAAGUUGUUAGGGAAGUUAGCGUGCUUGUUCUUGAGUUGCUGGAAAGGCAUAUAAAUGACACAAAUACAUGGCCACAAUAUGUAUUUUCUCAAUAAUAUUUGGGGAAAUGUUCUGGGCAUCAGGUUUCCCGUCUAACUUUCCCUGUAGGAAACGGAUAGUCAUUGAAGUAAUUUUGAUUUGGGUGAGUUGUUACACGGAUAGCGAAGUUGUAAGUUCUCUUGCCACUUUUCUUGUUCUGCACCUUUCGAGAGUCAUUAUGAGAACUGAACACUAGGGGGACCCAGUUUCCUUACUUAUGCAACGGCGGCUGGCCCAGCUGUACGCUACGAUCGCCCUCACUUAGGACACAUGCAAUAUAAACACAAAUCUGAAAACAAGGGCAGCUUCUCUUUUCUCAAUGCAAUGUAUAUUUAUAGCAGUGAUCAUUUUUGCAUGUAACAUGUCUGAAUUCCUUAAAUAGGUCAUUUUAAGUAAUGUGCAUAACCAUUACAAUUUUUCUUUUUUGAGACAGGUUCUCACUCUUUGCCAAGGCUGUGUGCAGUGGUGCCAUCUGGACUCAUUGCAACCUCUGCCCCCUGGGCUCAAGUGAUCUUCCCACCUCAGCCUCUCGAGUAGCUGGGACCACAGGCAUGAGCCACCACACCUGGCUAAUUUUGGUUUCACCAUGUGGCCCAGGCUGGUCUUGAACUCCUGAGCUCAAGCAAUUCACUCACCUUGGCUUCCUGAAGUGCUGGGAUUAUAGGGAUGAGCCACCACACCUGGCCACCGUUUAAAGAUUUAAAGGCAAUGGUUUCUAAACUCUAGUUCCUUGUGAGCCCCAUAUUUGCAAACUUGUGAAAAUAAGGAUCAUGAUUUCUUAUUUUUUAUUAUUAUUAUUAUUUUUGAGAUGGAG
rnacentral:lncRNA from 10 species